AGUGAACGCUGGCGGCGUGCUUAACACAUGCAAGUCGAACGAGAACGGAUUAUAGCUUGCUAUAAUUGUCAGCUAAGUGGCGCACGGGUGAGUAAUGUAUAGGUAAUAUGCCUCUUACUCAGGGAUAAAAAAUGGAAACUAUUGCUAAUACCGUAUACUCCUUAUUAACAGAAGUUAAUAAGGGAAAGAUUUAUUGGUAAGAGGUUAGCCUGUAUUGUAUCAGUUAGUUGGUGGGGUAAUGGCUUACAAAGACUAAGCAACAUAACUGGUUUGAGAGGAUGAUCAAUCACACUGGAACUGAGACACGGUCCAGACUCCUACGGGAGGCAGCAGUGGGGAAUAUUGCACAAUGGACGAAAGUCUGAUGCAGCAACGCCGCGUGGAGGAUGACACAUUUCGGUGCGUAAACUCCUUUUAUAUGAGAAGAUAAUGACGGUAUUAUAUGAAUAAGCACCGGCUAACUCCGUGCCAGCAGUCGCCGUAAGAC
rnacentral:rRNA from 1 species